rnacentral:rRNA from 1 species
GUCCUUGCCGUAAACGAUGUAGAUUAGGUAUCAGGGGUGUCGAUCCCCCUGGCGCCGACGUUAACACAUUAAAUCUACCACCUGGGGAGUACGGUCGCAAGACUGAAACUCAAAGAAAUUGACGGGGACCCGCACAAGCGGUGGAGCAUGUGGUUUAAUUCGAGGCUACGCGAAGAACCUUACCCAGGCUUGACAUGUUUAGGACAGUCCAUGAAAGUGGAUCUUCCCGCAAGGGACCUUUACACAGGUGCUGCAUGGCUGUCGU